AUUGAACGCUGGCGGCAGGCCUAACACAUGCAAGUCGAACGAGUGGCGGACGGGUGAGUAAUGUCUGGGAAACUGCCUAAUGGCGGGGGAUAAAUAAUGGAAACGGUAGCUAAUACCGCAUACCAGCGGAUGGGACCAGAUGGGAGUAGCGAGUAGGUGGGGUAACGGCUCACCUAGGCGAAGAUCCCUAGCUGGUCUGAGAGGAUGACCAGCCAUACUGGAACUGAGACACGGUCCAGACUCCUACGGGAGGCAGCAGUGGGGAAUAUUGCACAAUGGGCGCAAGGCUGAUGCAGCCAUGCCGCGUGUAUGAAGAAGGCCUUCGGGUUGUAAAGUACUUUCAGCGGUGAGGCGUUACCCGCAGAAGAAGCACCGGCUAACUCCGUGCCAGCAGCCGCGGUAAUUC
rnacentral:rRNA from 1 species